GGUCCGGUCGUCGGCGAUGGCUCCCGUUCGAACCGGGUCAGGCCGGGAACGGAGCAGCCCUAAGGAUGCGGCGUCAUGUGCACGUCGCCCGGGCCCAC
rnacentral:SRP_RNA from 1 species